rnacentral:SRP_RNA from 1 species
AUUCGUAUAGGAUGAGAGUUGCCCGGUAUUGGCGGCGUUGAAGCCCUGGCCUUAUGCAAUGGAACCUGUGAACCGUGUCAGGUCGGGAACGAAGCAGCACUAAGCAGUCACUUCCGUGUGCCAUGAGAGGACCCGGGUGGAGCGGCCUUUACCGGGCAGCUCUUACGAAU